rnacentral:rRNA from 1 species
UACGUAGGUGGCAAGCGUUGUCCGGAUUUACUGGGCGUAAAGAGCGCGCAGGCGGUCGUCCAAGUCGCGUGUGAAAGCCCCCGGCUCAACUGGGGAGGGUCACGCGAUACUGGUCGACUCGAAGGCAGGAGAGGGUAGUGGAAUUCCCGGUGUAGCGGUGGAAUGCGCAGAUAUCAGGAGGAACACCAAUAGCGAAGGCAGCUCGCUGGGACGUUACUGACACUGAGGCGCGAAAGCGUGGGGAGCGAACAGG